rnacentral:rRNA from 1 species
CAGCACCUCAAGUGGUCAGGACGAUUAUUGGGCCUAAAGCGUCCGUAGCCGGCCGAGUAAGUCCCCCGUUAAAUCCAGCGUCUCAAGCGUUGGACUGCGGGAGAUACUACUUGGCUAGAGAGUGGGAGAGGUCAGCGGUAUUCUGGGGGUAGGGGCGAAAUCCUUUGAUCCCCGGAGGACCACCAGUGGCGAAGGCUGCUGACUAGAACACGUCUGACGGUCAGGGACGAAAGCUGGGGUAGCGAACCGGAUUAGAGACCCGAGUAGUCC